UACGUAGGGACCAAGCGUUGUUCGGAUUUACUGGGCGUAAAGGGCGCGUAGGCGGCCGAGCGGGUCGCGGGUGAAAUCCUCCAGCUUAACUGGAGAACUGCCCUCGAUACCACUGCGGCUCGAGGAAGGAAGGGGCAAUCGGAACUGUCGGUGGAGCGGUGAAAUGCGUUGAUAUCGACAGGAACGCCGGUGGCGAAAGCGGAUUGCUGGUCCUUUUCUGACGCUGAGGCGCGAAAGCCAGGGGAGCAAACGGG
rnacentral:rRNA from 1 species